GACAGAGGGGGCAAGCGUUGCUCGGAAUCACUGGGCGUAAAGGGCGCGUAGGCGGGAUGGCAAGUCGGUCGUGAAAUCCUUCGGCUCAACCGAAGAACGUCGGCCGAUACUGCCGUUCUUGAGGGAUGCAGAGGAGAUUGGAAUUCCCGGUGUAGCGGUGAAAUGCGCAGAUAUCAGGAAGAACACCCGUGGCUAAGGCGGCUCUCUAGUACGGUACUGACGCUGAGACGCGAAAGCGUGGGGAGCGAACAGG
rnacentral:rRNA from 1 species